rnacentral:RNase_P_RNA from 1 species
UGAUCCUUUCAAGCCGUCGCUUCCCGCCUUUGGGUGGGGGGAGGAAAGUCCGGGCUUCAUCGGGCAGCGUAGUGGGUAAUACCCACCCCCACUAGCUUUUUUGUGGGCGGAUUAGAGCCACAGAGACGAGUUCUCCGUUGUUUUUUUUGACGGAGAGGUGAAACGCGGCAAUCUCUACGUGAAGAAAGGCCAAACAAAUCUCUGCUUAGUCCUAAGCGCCCGCUUAGAGGGAAACCUGGAGAUUGGGUAGGCCGAACGAGGCCUUGAGCAAUCAAGGCCCUAGAUAGAUGACGGCCAGGUUCACUUCGGUGGACUACAGAACCCGGCUUAUCGAAAGGGUUAGACA